rnacentral:rRNA from 1 species
AGAUUGAACGCUGGCGGCAGGCCUAACACAUGCAAGUCGAGCGGUAGAGAGGUGCUUGCACCUCUUGAGAGCGGCGGACGGGUGAGUAAUGCCUAGGAAUCUGCCUAGUGGUGGGGGAUAACGGUUCGGAAACGG